AUGGCUGGCAUGGCGGUGCCGGCGUGGGUGGGGGCCCUCACGUCGCCUGAGGUCGACGCGGCCAAGCUGCUCCUCCAGCUCAGCGAGAGCAGCGCCUCAUCUGGCGGCUCCUCCUCCUCCCUGCGCUCCCUGAACGCCGCGCCGGCGCCAGCGUCGGGGGCCUUUGUUCUUGGUGGUUUCGUGGACUGGGAGGAAGAUGACGAGGAGGAGGUGCCCGGGGGCCAGCGCAGGGUGAAUCGCUACCGCCUGAUCACCGAGAUCUAUGCCGCGACGGAGGAAAUCGGUGUUUGCGGCGGCAGCGGCCGGAAGAACAAGAAGGAAUAG
rnacentral:rRNA from 1 species